rnacentral:rRNA from 1 species
GACGAACGCUGGCGGCGUGCUUAACACAUGCAAGUCGAACGGAAAGGCCCUGCUUUUGUGGGGUGCUCGAGUGGCGAACGGGUGAGUAACACGUGAGUAACCUGCCCUUGACUUUGGGAUAACUUCAGGAAACUGGGGCUAAUACCGGAUAGGAGCUCCUGCUGCAUGGUGGGGGUUGGAAAGUUUCGGCGGUUGGGGAUGGACUCGCGGCUUAUCAGCUUGUUGGUGGGGUAGUGGCUUACCAAGGCUUUGACGGGUAGCCGGCCUGAGAGGGUGACCGGCCACAUUGGGACUGAGAUACGGCCCAGACUCCUACGGGGGGCAGCAGUGGGGAAUAUUGCACAAUGGGCGGAAGCCUGAGGCAGCAACGCCGCGUGCGGGAGGACGGCCUUCGGGUGGUAAACCGCUUUCGCCUGUGACGAAGCGUGAGUGACGGUAAUGGGUAAAGAAGCACCGGCUAACUACGU